UUCCCUACACGACGCUCUUCCGAUCUUUGGCAUCAGUAGGCGAUGAAAGACGUGCUAAGCUGCGAUAAGCUUCGGGGAACCGCAAAGAGGUUUUGAUCCGGAGAUUUCUGAAUGGGGAAACCCAACGAGGGGAAAUGCCUCGUUACUGGCGUGUGAAUACAUAGCGCGUCAGAGCAACACCCAGGGAAGUGAAACAUCUCAGUACCUGGAGGAGUAUAAAUCAAUAGAGAUUCCCUUAGUAGUGGCGAACGAAAGGGGAAUAGUCCAAACCAACCGCUACGGUGGUUGGGGUUGUAGGACUACGUUGUGGUAUGACAAUAGAUAAUAGAAGGAUCUGGAAAGUUCCGCCAUAGAGGGUGAUAGUCCCGUAAAUGAAAUCUAAAGUUGGCCUAGUAGUAUCCUGAGUAGGACGGGACACGAGAAACCCUGUCUGAAUCUGGGAGGCCCACCUUCCAAGACUAAAUACUAACUGAUGACCGAUAGCGAACUAGUACCGUGAGGGAAAGGUGAAAAGUACCCCUUUUAGGGGAGUGAAAUAGUACCUGAAACCGUACGCUUACAAAGUGUGGGAGCUCCAUUUAUGGGGUGACCGCAUGCCUUUUGCAUAAUGAGUCCGCGAGUCAAUAUACGUAGCAAGGUUAAGUCCCUUACGGGAUGGAGCCGAAGUGAAAGCGAGGGUUAACUGCCCGAAUAAGUUGCGUGUGUUGGACCCGAAGCCGAGUGAGCUACCCAUGGCCAGGUUGAAACUUCUGUAACAGGAAGUGGAGGACCGAACCCGUUCAUGCUGAAAAAUGUUGGGAUGAGCUGUGGGUUGGAGUGAAAGGCUUACCAAACUCGGGAAUAGCUGGUUCUCUUCGAAAUAGCUUUAGGGCUAGCCUCGAUGAAUGCACGAUCCGGAGGUAGAGCACUGAUUGGACUAGGGCCCAUACCAGGGUACCAACGCCUAUCAAACUCCGAAUGCCGGAUCCGACACAUCGGGAGUCACACUAUCGGGGAUAAGCUUGAUAGUGGAGAGGGAAACAGCCCAGACCGCCAGCUAAGGUCCCUAAAUUAAGUUAAGUGCUUAAGGAUGUGAAAUUGCAUAGACAGCUAGGAUGUUGGCUUAGAAGCAGCCACCAUUUAAACAGUGCGUAAUAGCUGACUAGUCGAGUGAUUUUGCGCCGAAAAUGAUCGGGACUAAAACUUAAUACCGAAGCUGCGGAUUGUAGUAUUUAUACUACAGUGGUAGAAGAGCGUUGUAUACCGGGUUGAAGGGAAAGGGUAACCGAUCCUGGACUGUAUACAAGUGAUUAUGCGGACAUGAGUAACGAGAAACAAGGUGAGAAUCCUUGUCGCCGAAAUUCCAAGGUUUCCUGGGGAAGGAUCGUCCGCCCAGGGUUAGUCGGCCCCUAAGCUGAGGCUUAACAGCGUAAGCGAUGGGAAACAGGUUAAAUAUUCCUGUACUAGUGUAUGUGAGUGAUGGAGGGACGCAGGAGGCUAGGUCAGCCAGCGACUGGAAGUGCUGGUCGAAGGCCGUAGGAAGGCUGGAUAGGUAAAUCCGUCCGGUCAAUUCUGAAAGUCGUAAGAUAGGUAAGGCUUCGGCCGAACCGAAUUGAUUGAUGCCAUGCUGCCAAGAAAAGCUUCUAAACUUUGAUCAUAUACUAACCGUACCGUAAACCGACACAGGUGGAAUGGUAGAGUAUACCGAGGCGCGCGAGAGAAACUUUGUUAAGGAACUCGGCAAAUUAGCCCCGUAACUUCGGAAGAAGGGGUCCUCCUUAGUGUUGUUAUUUAUAACUGCACCGAGGAGGCGCAGUGAAGAGGCUCAGGCGACUGUUUAUCAAAAACAUAGCACUCUGCGAACUCGAAAGAGGAUGUAUAGGGUGUGACACGUGACCAAUGCCAAAAGGUUAAGGCAAGUUGUUAUCCUUCGGGAGAAGCUUCAAACCGAAGCCCUGGUGAAUGUCGGCCGUAACUAUAACGGUCCUAAGGUAGCGAAAUUCCUUGUCGGGUAAGUUCCGACCUGCACGAAUCGUGUAACGAUCUGAGCGCUGUCUCAACAAAGAUCUCGGUGAAAUUGUAGUUCCGGUGAAAAUGCCGGAUACCCGCGGUAGGACGGAAAGACCCCGUGAACCUUUACUGUAUCCUGAUAUUGGAUAUUGAUAACUCAUGUGUAGGAUAGCUGGGAGGCUUUGAUUCUGUGUCGUCAGGCACAGAGGAGCCAAUGGUGAAAUACCAGUCUUGUGUUAUUGGUGUCCUAACCACGAUCCCCUGAAUCGGGGCGUGGAACAGUGUCAGGUGGUCAGUUUGACUGGGGCGGUUUCCUCCCAAAAAGUAACGGAGGAGUUCGAAGGUUCCCUCAGCAUGGUCGGCAAUCAUGCGUAGAGCAUAUAGGUAUAAGGGAGCUUAACUGCGAGACCUACAAGUCGAGCAGGUGCGAAAGCAGGACUAAGUGAUCCGGUGGUAGCUAGUGGUAGCGCCAUCGCUCAACGGAUAAAAGGUACUCCGGGGAUAACAGGCUGAUCGCCGCCAAGAGUCCACAUCGACGCGGCGGUUUGGCACCUCGAUGUCGCCCUAUAGUGAGUCGUAUAGAUCGGAAGAGCACACG
rnacentral:rRNA from 1 species